UUGCAGGCAAUUCAGUCAACUGGGUUCUUCCCUCCCUGGGACCCAGUGUGUGACAGUUGCGAACAGAAUCCUUCUUAGUGGCAUAUAUAGCCUAUUGUUGUAUGGGUUCCCCUACGUGACUUUGGAGAAAGCC